GUUUUCCAUUCCUGUCCAUCUGUCCCAGUCUCUCUGUGUCUCUCCCUGAUAGGCUUGCUCUAUCUGUCUCAUACUCUGUGUGUGUGUGUGUGUGUGUGUGUGUGUGUGUGUGUGUGUGUGUGUGUGUGUGUCUGCUUUUUCUUCAGGGUUACUAACACGGGGGUGGGGGUGGAGUAACUCGUAAAAAGACUUAAGGAGUCCCGGACAUAUUAAGUUUUGUUUUCCCUGGUCUUCCCUGGGCCUGGGCUCGCUAUGGGAACCUCCCAGAGCGGCUCCUCUCGGGAAGAGUCCAGGAUGUACCCAGAAGGUCCUUUUGUUUUCCUUAGUCUGGGUCUGAAGGAUAGGUGGUGUAGCUACGACAUCCGUGGCUAGGACCCCGACUAGAAGUUGCAAGGUGGGAUGGAGGAUUCAGCCCCCUUUCUUGGUUUAAAAGCCUUUCUGGGAAGCCGGGACUCUAAAUCUCACAUACGGAUCGAUCCCCGAUGCACAUGCAUCUAUAUGUUGAAGUUUUGCCCGGCUGCAGCGUUUGUUCUCAGGAAUUUAUUAUGGCAUUCAGACUAAACUGCUGGAAAAAUAAAAGGAGCAAAGUCUUGGCUAGGGGCUGAAGUGUCCCCAGCAGGAUAUGACGCCAGGAGUGUUGUAAAGACUGUCUGUCCUUAGAGAAGGUACCAUUGUGCAUAGCCUUUUAUUUAUAACUUGCACUCUCGGGUUCACAUGCCACCAACGGAUAAAGGCCAACCCAUCUCCACCCAGAAGUCCCGACGGAUCUUGAGAGCACUGAGCGGACACAGCAGCUAGAACAUUUCUAAAGCUCCAUGGCGAAGACCAAGGUAGUGAUGUUGGCUGAGGAUCUCCUGACAGUGGCACCCACCCUGACAAACCAAAGCAGGCAAACCAGAUUUGGAAGAAGCCCACACAGGCCAUGAGCUUCCCGACGAACAAACAGUGUUAGCUACUGGGCUACUGGUGAAGGUGCGGAUUAAACCCGCGGAGCAGCACAGCCACUACAGCAUCAGCGGCGGGUCAUUUCGCAUCCCAACUCCACAGUCACUUGUCAAAAGCGUUGGUGCCGCUCUUCUCUCCAUCAAAAUCUCAGGCAGGGUGAUCUUGGAUUUAGGAUCAAGAAGCGGAUCUGGGCACCUCAUUGAAAUGUCUGGGUGAGCCACAGCGGGUUUGUCCCUGUCAUGCCCCUGUAGCAGAGGGUCCUUAGGGGACUGCGAGAGGAAAGCAAUAAAGAACAUAUGGUUUGUGGGAAAGAAAGAGUAAAGGAAAAGGAAAAAGAGAGGAAGAGAAAAUUUUAAAAACAAAAUUGAAAGCCAACAGAACAAGCAGAAACUAUAUCUGUCUAGUCUUACAGAAGUUCAUUUUCAAGAUUUAUCUUUAUGUAAACACGGAUGGUGAUCUGCCACAGCCUGAGGAAUCUUGCAAAAUAAUGAUAACGAUAGUGAUGAUGAUGAUGAUGAUGAUGAUGAUGAUGAUAAUAAUAAUAAUAAUAAUAAUAAUAAAAUUAAUCCUCUCUGCACGCGUUGAUGGGAGUAAACUGAGGAGGAGAACUUGAUCCAAUUCCAUGACUGUGCGUGUAGGUCUGGAUCUGGUGUGUCUGUGGUUAGGGGGUAAGGAGAAAGGGCUUUCCUUAGCCUGCGGACUGACUGACUGGUACCCGGAGCAGCCCAAGCCGCCUUUGUGCAGAGGCAACCAGAGAGGUUGAGUCCGGGCAAGAGUAGUCAGAAGGAGUGAGCCAGAGAAGCAAGGUCGACAAACGUUCUAAGGACUGCUGACUGGAACAAAAAGGCGAGAGUGGGAGCAGAAUUACUUUGAAUUCCGAGCUUGGGAACGGGAGAAUCACGAGCGUAACUCUGAACAGAUGAAAACUGACCAUCUUGGACAAUGAAACGAAGAAGCAGCCAGAGAGACGCCAGAAUUUAGCGCGUGCAACUGCAGCGCAAGCGCCGCCGGCAAGGCCCUCUCAAAGUCAUCUUGCAGAUAGCUGUCCUGGGUCCGCGUGGUGGCAACUCAUUAAAGUCACUGUGGAAGGUUUGCCCCUUCUUGAGACAGAGAAAAAAAAAAGCUUCACGAUGGGGUAUUCCAAUUCCCAGCAUAGAGCCAAGAGUCAAGACAAGUAGCCCCAAGAGGAAUGCGAGUCAGAGAGCCUUUCUUCUUUCUUCUUUUCUUUGCCAAACGAAAUCUAAUACUAUCUGGCUGCAAAAAUAUAUAUCACCGGCUCUGAGUCUGAAAGAUUAACAUUCGGAUACGUAGGAAAUGUAAUCUGCAUGGCUAAUUGAUUCUCAGCGUAUCAGUUUAAAGGAUAAAGAUCGAUAUCUGCAUAUGAUGGAUAUUGUAUUAAUAGGGACAUAAAUAAAGGCCGAAGAGUCGUUACCGAAA